GCGGGGAUAGCUCAGUUGGGAGAGCGUCAGACUGAAGUCGAAUAACUCCAGUUGUAUAUCUGAAGGUCGUGUGUUCAAUCCACACUCACCGCA